AGCGAACGCUGGCGGCAGGCCUAACACAUGCAAGUCGAACGGAUCCUUCGGGAUUAGUGGCGGACGGGUGAGUAACACGUGGGAACGUGCCCUUUGGUUCGGAACAACUCAGGGAAACUUGAGCUAAUACCGGAUGUGCCCUUCGGGGGAAAGAUUUAUCGCCAUUGGAGCGGCCCGCGUCUGAUUAGCUAGUUGGUGAGGUAAAGGCUCACCAAGGCGCCGAUCAGUAGCUGGUCUGAGAGGAUGAUCAGCCACAUUGGGACUGAGACACGGCGCAAACUCCUAGGGGAGGCAGCAGUGGGGAAUCUUGCGCAAUGGGCGAAAGCCUGACGCAGCCAUGCCGCGUGAAUGAUGAAGGUCUUAGGAUUGUAAAAUUCUUUCACCGGGGACGAUAAUGACGGUACCCGGAGAAGAAGCCCCGGCUAACUUCGUGCCAGCCGCCGCGGUAACAC
rnacentral:rRNA from 1 species